rnacentral:lncRNA from 1 species
CAGGAAGACGAAAUGUCCUCAUGGCUUCAUUAUCCUCUCCGCGAAGAUGAUUUCUGCUCAGAUCUUUUCUUCCCCGCCGCGCCGUCAUCUGAGAGACAGGCCUCGAAUCAGGUCACCUCCGCCAGGCCACCGGUACCUUCCACUGUGAGGCCGCCGGAACCGUCGUCUAUGAGGCCACCGGCACCGUCGUCUGUGAAGCCUCCGGUACGGAACUUCAUGAACUUCUCGAGGCUGAGAGGGGAUUUCACCGGCAGAGGAGAAUCUGGACCGUCGACUGUGAGAGAAUCGGCGAAAGUAAACCCUAGCGCCA